GAUGAACGCUGGCGGCGUGCCUAAUACAUGCAAGUCGAGCGAAUGGAUUAAGAGCUUGCUCUUAUGAAGUUAGCGGCGGACGGGUGAGUAACACGUGGGUAACCUGCCCAUAAGACUGAGAUAACUCCGGGAAACCGGGGCUAAUACCGGAUAACAUUUUGAACCGCAUGGUUCGAAAUUGGAAGGCGGCUUCGGCUGUCACUUAUGGAUGGACCCGCGUCGCAUUAGCUAGUUGGUGAGGUAACGGCUCACCAAGGCAACGAUGCGUAGCCGACCUGAGAGGGUGAUCGGCCACACUGGGACUGAGACACGGCCCAGACUCCUACGGGAGGAAGCAGUAGGGAAUCUUCCGCAAUGGACGAAAGUCUGACGGAGCAACGCCGCGUGAGUGAUGAAGGCUUUCGGGUCGUAAAACUCUGUUGUUAGGGAAGAACAAGUGCUAGUUGAAUAAGCUGGCACCUUGACGGUACCUAACCAGAAAGCCACGGCUAACUACGUGCCAGCCGCCGCCGUAA
rnacentral:rRNA from 1 species